UACGUAGGGGCAAGCGUUGUCCGGAAUCAUUGGGCGUAAAGCGCGUGUAGGCGGCCGGUAAGUCCGCUGUGAAAGUCGGGGCUCAACCUCGAAUGCCGGUGGAUACUGUCGGGCUAGAGUGCGGGAGAGGCGGAGUGGAAUUCCUGGGUGUAGCGGUGAAAUGACGCAGAGUAUCAGGAGGAACACCAUUGCGAAGGCAGCUCGCUGGACGUUACUGACGCUGAGACGCGAAGCGUGGGGAGCAAACAGG
rnacentral:rRNA from 1 species